UACAGAGGUCUCAAGCGUUGUUCGGAUUCAUUGGGCGUAAAGCGCGUGUAGGCUGCUCUGCAAGUCGGGUGUGAAAGCCCUGGGCUCAACCUAGGAAGUGCACUCGAAACUGCAGAGCUGGAGUCCUGGAGAGGAAGGCGGAAUUCUCGGUGUAGAGGUGAAAUUCGUAGAUAUCGAGAGGAACACCGGUGACGAAGGCGGCCUUCUGGACAGUGACUGACGCUGAGACGCGAAAGCGUGGGGAGCAAACAGG
rnacentral:rRNA from 1 species